rnacentral:rRNA from 1 species
GACAGAGGCCUCAAGCGUUAGGCGGAAUCACUGGGCUUAAAGCGUGUGUAGGCGGAUGCCUAAGUACCUUGUGAAAUCCCACGGCUCAACCGUGGAACUGCUGGGUAUACUGGGCGUCUUGGGCCAUUCAGGGGCGACUGGAACAAGCGGUGGAGCGAUGAAAUGCGUAGAUAUCGCUUGGAACGCCGAAGGUGAAAACAGGUCGCUGGGGAUGUGCCGACGCUGAGACACGAAAGCCAGGGGAGCAAACGGG